rnacentral:lncRNA from 15 species
GUAUGUGAAAACCUAAACGUCAACAUUGACAAAUUAUAACAUGCCUUGUUUUUUAAUACAUUUUAACAGAUCAAAUUGAGUGGAGCAUUUCUGGAGGGGGCUGGGUUAACACUUGGGGAGGAGGUGGAACAAGUGAAUGCCUUCCUCUCUAGGAUAGCAGUUACGACAAAGCACAUGUCAAAAGCAGGUGAGUUGGCCACAUAGUAUAAACUUUGGUUUAGGAAAUAGGCAAAAUAGUGAUAACAUCAUAUUUUCUGUUGUAGGGCGUACAGACAUGUUAACACUCAUGGCUUUGCGGUGGAAUGAGCAGAAGAUGAACAACUUGGCCACCUACCUGUUCCGCAGAUAUUUUAAAGCAAUUCAACUUUUUAAAAACAUUUAAGAUUCUUUGGUAGUUAUAGUUCAAUUGUGGACUGAUUUUUUUUACUUAUUAUUUCAAUUUCAAAUUUCAGUGUCUUUGAAGUGAAGACAAGGAAGUGGAGUCGAUGAAGGCCGAGUUGGCAGCGACCGAUGGGCAAUUCGAAGACUGGGUCAGGGAUGUGAAGGAUUGGGCAGAAACAACAACCAACAACACAACAGACGCUGCUGCCUUGGCCAGGAAGAUAGAGAUGCUGGUUGUGAGUGUAAAGAGACGCUCCCAGCGACUUUANUAAGACUAUGACUCCAACAAAGGUCGUGGCAGGAUCCGCCGGAAGAUCAGGCAGGAGAAAGGGAUCUCGACAGUGUCAUGGCGGAACGGAGACUUCAUGAAGAAAAAACGAUCCUUUUGUGAGAGAUGAACCACCACUGGAGUUCGUGGGGAUUCCUUAAAAGAGCUGUCUUCUCUGAUGACUAGGACAACAAUGCAAGGUAUGUUUUUAGAUUUGACAUCACAUG